rnacentral:rRNA from 1 species
AAAUUGAAGAGUUUGAUCAUGGCUCAGAUUGAACGCUGGCGGCAGGCCUAACACAUGCAAGUCGAACGGUAACAGGAAGCAGCUUGCUGCUUUGCUGACGAGUGGCGGACGGGUGAGUAAUGUCUGGGAAACUGCCUGAUGGAGGGGGAUAACUACUGGAAACGGUAGCUAAUACCGCAUAACGUCGCAAGACCAAAGAGGGGGACCUUAGGGCCUCUUGCCAUCGGAUGUGCCCAGAUGGGAUUAGCUAGUAGGUGGGGUAAAGGCUCACCUAGGCGACGAUCCCUAGCUGGUCUGAGAGGAUGACCAGCCACACUGGAACUGAGACACGGUCCAGACUCCUACGGGAGGCAGCAGUGGGGAAUAUUGCACAAU